UAAAAACGUCUUAUCUCUCUCUCUCUCUACGUUUAGUGUUCAAACUGUUAGUCUCUCCAUUUGUCUCUCUCUCUCUCUCUCUCUCUCUCUCCUCCUCCAUUCCUCCUCCACCAUUGUUCCACCUCCACAGGUUGCCGGCAGAAAAAAGAAAAAAAAAAAAAAAAAAACCAAGCCGAACUGUUUUUAUUUGUCCUUUAUCCGCAAUUGGAUCCAUACUCACGGGAAUUGACUACAUAGGUCUAGGCCAUGUGAUGGUGUUUGCUAAUGGGGGAUUACUCCCAAGCUUUGGAAGAAUUAUCAAGAGAGCAGUAAGGUUGGAGACACGAAAAGGCAGUCACGGGGUUGCAGUUGCAUAUGUUGAUGUGGUUAGCACAAUCAUCUUUCAACAUUUGAGUUUAACACUUGUGCUAGGCACCCCUAAAAUAUUGCAGAAGAGAUUCAGUGCAAAGGGGCUGUUAUAAAGCAAAUGUUCCUCAAAAGUAUGCCAGGAGAUGAGAGGAUUCCUAGAGUGCUCAUGGAUAAUGACAUUAUUUCCCCCCUCUUUUAUAGAAAGAACAAAUAAAAUAAGAUUUGAAGUUUUCCUUUGAUUGUCCAUUUACUUGGCAUCGUUAUGAUUCAAACAUAUUUCAUAUUUUGAGAGGAAAAAAAAAAAUUAAAAUGGAUUUCAAUGAACAACUUUUUUUCUCCUAUAAGCUGCCAAUCUUAUUGAGCAGGUAUGGAAUCGAAAUGUUUCUCCUGGAAAAUUAAGUACCCCAUUGAUGUUACCAUAUGAUGAAUGUAAGACUAUGAACAUUGUUGAUUUGUUAUACUUUAAUUUCUUGUAAUGACUUUCUAUGAUUGUCAAACAACUUUCUGUGGU